rnacentral:lncRNA from 1 species
ACUUUAAAAAAAAUUUCUCCAUCUAUAUCCACAUAAAAUGAAUAUUUUCCACAUCAUAUAAAUCAAUAAUUAAUUAUUCACAAAUAAUAUUACAGAAUCACAAUACCGACAACCAGGCAGUUCCCAGGAAAGAGGGGCUUUCCAAUAAGAAUUUCUCCUUACUGACGCGCAAUUAGGUGACCAAACCUCUCCUUAGACAGAACUUUCUAGACAUUGUCAAUAAUGUUAUCUAAUAAUAUUAUUCAGAUAAUAUGAAUUAUUGCUCUGAUAAUGGAAAAUAUUG